GAUGAAGAACGCAGCGAAACGCGAUAUGUAAUGUGAAUUGCUGAAUUCAGUGAAUCAUCGAAUCUUUGAACGCACAUGGCGCCUUCCAGUAUCCUGGGAGGCAUGCCUGUCCGAGCGUCGUUUCAACCCUCGAGCCCCCGUGGCCCGGCGUUGGGGAUCUGCCCAGGCAGUCCCCGAAAACCAGUGGCGGACCCGUUACAGGCCCUUCCCUUGCGUAGUAGCAUUCGCCUCGCAUCGGGAGCCAGCGGGCUUCCAGCCUCUAAACCCCCAUCAAGUCCGCCCCGGCGGCACCAAGGUUGACCUCGGAUCAGGUAGGAAUACCCGCUGAACUUAAGCAUAUCAAUAAGCGGAGGA
rnacentral:misc_RNA from 1 species